GAUGAACGCUGGCGGCGUGCCUAAUACAUGCAAGUCGAGCGAACAGAUGAGGAGCUUGCUCCUCUGACGUUAGCGGCGGACGGGUGAGUAACACGUGGAUAACCUACCUAUAAGACUGGGAUAACUUCGGGAAACCGGAGCUAAUACCGGAUAAUAUAUUGAACCGCAUGGUUCAAUAGUGAAAGACGGUUUUGCUGUCACUUAUAGAUGGAUCCGCGCCGCAUUAGCUAGUUGGUAAGGUAACGGCUUACCAAGGCGACGAUGCGUAGCCGACCUGAGAGGGUGAUCGGCCACACUGGAACGGAGCCACGGUCCAGACGCCUACGAGAGGCAGCAGUAGGGAAUCUUCCGCAAUGGGCGAAAGCCUGACGGAGCAGCGCCGCGUGAGUGAUGAAGGUCUUCGGAUCGUAAAACUCUGUUAUUAGGGAAGAACAAAUGUGUAAGUAACUAUGCACGUCUUGACGGUACCUAAUCAGAAAGCCACGGCUAACUACGUG
rnacentral:rRNA from 1 species